rnacentral:sRNA from 1 species
GCUGCCGCAAAAUCGGCAGACGGGCGUAGGAACCCGAAUACACCAGCGGCGACACCAGACGCCUUUAGCGUCUUUUUU